GAUGAAGAACGUAGCGAAAUGCGAUAAGUAGUGUGAAUUGCAGAAUUCAGUGAAUCAUCGAAUCUUUGAACGCACAUUGCGCCCCUCGGUAUUCCGUGGGGCAUGCCUGUUCGAGCGUCAUUUAACCCCUCAAGCCUAGCUUGGUAUUGGGUGCUUGUCCCGCCUCUCGCGCGGCGACUCACCUCAAAGUCAUUGGCAGCUCGCAUCUCGCCGGCCGUGAGCGCAGCACAGACGCGCUCUUGGCAACGACGGAUCGGCUCUCCAAAAGCUUAUUUCAACCACUGACCUCGGAUCAGGUAGGGAUACCCGCUGAACUUAAGCAUAUCAAUAAGCGGAGGA
rnacentral:misc_RNA from 1 species